rnacentral:rRNA from 1 species
CCCUUAGAUGUUCUGGGCAGCACGCGUGUUACACUGAAGUGGUCAGCGCGCCGUUCUACGUCCCACUCCGUGAGGAGCGGGCAAACGUUUGAACCCUUUUCGUGAUGGGAAUUGGGGGUUGCAAUUGUCCCCCAUGAACGAGGAAUUCCAAGUAAGCGCAGGUCACUAGCCUGCGUUGAUUAAGUCCCUGCCCUUUGUACACACCGCCCGUCGCUCCUACCGAUUGGGUGUGCUGGUGAAAUGUUCGGAUCGGCCGUUUGUCGCGGUUUCCGCGGCUCGUGGCUGAGAAGUUCAUUAAACCCUCCCACCUAGAGGAAGGAGAAGUCGUAACA